CGCACCUCCCGACACAUAAAAGCGCCCCCCCCCACGCCCAGCCGCCCGACCUCCACUCGCCCGCGGCCUGCGAGCACCCGCCCCUCGUGGGGGCCGGGCUGCGGGUCCGGGGGCGGGUGGUGUCGCCGGGGCCGAACCCCGGCCCCCUCCCCCACGGUCCCGACAGUCGUCGCCGCCAUUUUGACCGCCCGCCCCUUCCCUCAGGACUGUACUCAAGCGACAGGCGCCGCGCGGGCCCCGCCGCCCGCCCCGGCGCGCCCAGCUUGCCAGGCGCUGCCCCGGUUACCUCGGCUUCUCCGCACUUGUGUCCGCGGAAGGCUUUGAGGAGGUGCACGGAGCGUCGGGAGUUGUAGUUCCGGUCCUACGUGCCGAUGGGAACCGCUAGACUUCCUCUUUGCUGGGCCACUUUCUAGCCUCAUGCUCACAUCCCCAAAGGAACGCUGAGACUCAGCUCUGCCCUUCUGUGACGUCGGCGGCGGAGGCCGGGCUCGGAGUUCGAUGACGUCACAAGCGCGUUCUCCCGGUCCGAGCGAGUGGCGAGGCCUCGUCUGGUGGCUGGUGCUGGGCGAGUCGGAACCUCGGAAAGGUCACGGCCUGGCCGCGCCACUAUCUCGGCCACGCAGGCGGCGAAAAGGUCUCUGGAAAACGGGGAUUUAAUGAGAGGACGAUAAGGAAAGGUCAGCGGCAGUCUGUCCCCAGAGCUCCCUGCCGCUGCGGACCUCAGUUCCCCAAGAGAUAGGUCAGCUGUAGCGGGAGGAGGUAAAACAGAAACUGCCCCGAUCGGAGGGAGUUCCUUGAGCUCAGAAAUUAAUCAUCAAGAUAAUAUUCUAAGACGGCAUUUUAAAAUAUCAAUUAAUGGGAAAAAGUAGACCCAAAGGAGCAAAAUGUCAAAUGUUAAAUGUAAUCAAUUUGGUGGCACCGAGAUUAGGGUGAGGUGAGUCUUGGCAGGCUCAGGGUUGGCUCUUUUGUUCAAAUAUUUUUGCUUAUUGAAUCAGGAUUGUUUUCUAAAUGAUGUUGAAGCUGCUCUUUCCACAGGAGAACAUGAGUAACUGUGAGAGAUGAUGACUAUGUUAAUUAGUUCCUUUAUAGUAAUCAUUUUGCUAUA